CAUCUUCGUCAGUAUCCUAUCUACUCCCACCGGCUUCCUGGUGCUGUUAAAGCAUUUAAGCUUGGUAAAAGAACUCUGCUGUUCGUGGCUGACGAAGGUGUUAUGAACACCUAUACAUCAGAGAAACAUGGUUUUAAUUUUGAACAUGCUGCUCGUGCUGAUCAACUUGCUGCGGGUGGAAGAUUUGAUACGGUCAGUAUUGACAACGCUACUCUUAUAUCACAUCUAUCCCAAGAUAGUCAUUUAGGUCGUCUGCACGUGAGUCAGAUUGAUGGCAUAUCUCAGUUUACAGGGCGUAUUGAUAAGAUUAAUACAUUUGGAGGACGUGGAUUCUCCAUUUAUGAUGCUUCCAACUUGCAACUGCUAUUUGAUAGUGGUGAUCAUUUAGAAAAAGUGGCUGCUACUACUAAAUUCUAUAACGUCUUCAAUACCGACAUUAGUGGUAUUGAUCAAAACUCUCCAGAAUCAUUAAAAGACUCAACUUCGGACGAUAUGGGACCGGUUGUAAAUUCUCUAGAUGUAGCUAGUGAUAAUGGUACUAACUAUUUAGUAGUGUCAGCCCAGAAUACAGGAAUACUCUAUCUCUACACAUUCAAGGCUACCAGCUCGGGAGUCAAUGUUUAUUUUGAGAACGCCUACAGACGAGGAAGUCAGUCGGAACUCUUCGCCAAUUCAUAUCUACAAGAUGACGUUGGUGAUGGAUAUAUCAGUGACGUCAGAAUAAUUCCUGCUUCAAAGAGUCCAAGUAAUAAAACAGUCGUCAUGGUUGCCUCCCAAGCUUCCGGUUCUAUUUCAUUUUAUCGGAUUGAGGUUAACAAUGUAGAUAAUGUCCCAGUCGUUGGAUGAAUUGUCAAAAAUGGUUUGACAUCCUUGAUUAAGAAGAGAUGGUUCAAAAUUGAAGAUUUGUUUAAACUUGAAACUGUAAAAAUAUAGUAUAAUUAUGGUAGCUGAAAAUAUGUCCUCAAAAGAUACGAAGUUUGUCGCAAUUUCGCCUUCACGUUUCGGUCGUAUACGGCAAACAUAAGAGAAAGUGUCAACGAUACGAAGCGCUCUUAGCUUCGAAUAUUUGACGUUUGCCUUAUGUUUUGCUUUAUUUAUAUCCUUGCUGUAACGUGAAGACGAAGAUGCGAUAACCAUACACAGAAGGCGAAUAUUAUAAGAAAUGGAGGUUUUCAGCCACUGUAACAUAAUCUUUGCAGAUGUUGUUCCAGCCGAGUCUUUUUAAUCAAAUAUAUAAACUACGAUACAGAAACUUAUAGUAAACACACAACCCACCAUAUUGUGUAACUUUAUAAAGAGAAAUGAUACAAUUGUA